rnacentral:rRNA from 1 species
CCUACGGGAGGCAGCAGUCGAGAAUCAUUCACAAUGGGGGAAACCCUGAUGGUGCGACGCCGCGUGGGGGAAUGAAGGUCUUCGGAUUGUAAACCCCUGUCAUGUGGGAGCAAAUUAAAAAGAUAGUACCACAAGAGGAAGAGACGGCUAACUCUGUGCCAGCAGCCGCGGUAAUACAGAGGUCUCAAGCGUUGUUCGGAAUCACUGGGCGUAAAGCGUGCGUAGGCUGUUUCGUAAGUCGUGUGUGAAAGGCGCGGGCUCAACCCGCGGACGGCACAUGAUACUGGGAGACGAGAGUAAGGGAGGGGGAACCGGAAUUCGCGGUGUAGCAGUGAAAUGCGUAGAUAUCGAGAGGAACACUCGUGGCGAAGGCGGGUUCCUGGACAUUAACUGACGCUGAGGCACGAAGGCCAGGGGAGCGAAAGGGAUUAGAUACCCUGGUAGUC